GGGUGUUGUAGUAUUUGAAAGCGAUUCACAGGGUAAAUUAAUUUGCAGAAAGGUUUAUCUCUUGCAUUUCCUGUAACAAGACUGUGAUAAAAGCUGUAGUUUCCGCAGGGACUGAGGUGGGCAGCUCAAUUCAGCUGGAGGAGACGAAGCAGGGACUAGAUUCGGGCGCUAUGAUCCUUAGGAUUAUGUGGAUAUUUCCCAGCCAUCAGAUGGGAUAAAAAGUCAAGCUCUGCAAUCUCCAAAACUUUUCCCACCAAGUCCAUUUUCGAGGGAAUUUCCUGACAUUUCCAUCUCUGCGCCAAAAGGAUUCUAGCUGCAGUGUUAAAAUGUGCCAACAUGUGUCUCAUUUCUUUAGAAUAGUCCUCUGGAAAUAUGUUCAAUAAAAAAAAGUUCUGGUUUAAAA